rnacentral:rRNA from 1 species
CCCUUAGAUGUUCUGGGCCGCACGCGUGCUACACUGAGUGGAUCAGCGGGUCAGGUUGCGCGAAAGUGUUUCCUAAUCUUUAAAUCCGCUCGUGAUGGGGAUUGACGGUUGCAAUUUUCCGUCAUGAACGAGGAAUACCUUGUAAGCGCGGGUCAUCAUCCCGCGCUGAAUACGUCCCUGCCCUUUGUACACACCGCCCGUCGCUCCUACCGAUUGAGUGGUCCGGUGAGGUUUUGGGAUCUGAGCGGAAAGAGCGUUUCGCUGUUUCUGCCCGGAAAACUCAGUCGAACCUUAUCAUUUAGAGGAAGGAGAAGUCGUAACA